rnacentral:rRNA from 1 species
CUUGAAACUGGGAGACUUGAGUGCAGGAGAGGAGAGUGGAAUUCCUAGUGUAGCGGUGAAAUGCGUGGAUAUUAGGAGGAACACCAGUGGCGAAGGCGGCUCUCUGGACUGUAACUGACGCUGAGGCACGAAAGCGUGGGGAGCAAACAGGAUUAGAUACCCUGGUAGUCCACGCGGUAAACGAUGAGUACUAGGGGUCGGGGGUUACCCCCCUCGGUGCCGCAACAAACGCAUUAAGUACUCCGGCUGGGAAGUACGCUCGCAAG